rnacentral:rRNA from 1 species
ACCAUGCAAGUCGAACGAUGAUCCGGUGCUUGCACCGGGGAUUAGUGGCGAACGGGUGAGUAACACGUGAGUAACCUGCCCUUAACUCUGGGAUAAGCCUGGGAAACUGGGUCUAAUACCGGAUAUGACUGAUCAUCGCAUGGUGGUUGGUGGAAAGCUUUUUGUGGUUUUGGAUGGACUCGCGGCCUAUCAGCUUGUUGGUGAGGUAAUGGCUUACCAAGGCGACGACGGGUAGCCGGCCUGAGAGGGUGACCGGCCACACUGGGACUGAGACACGGCCCAGACUCCUACGGGAGGCAGCAGUGGGGAAUAUUGCACAAUGGGCGCAAGCCUGAUGCAGCGACGCCGCGUGAGGGAUGACGGCCUUCGGGUUGUAAACCUCUUUCAGUAGGGAAGAAGCGAAAGUGACGGUACCUGCAGAAGAAGCGCCGGCUAACUACGUGCCAGCAGCCGCGGUAAUACGUAGGGCGCAAGCGUUAUCCGGAAUUAUUGGGCGUAAAGAGCUCGUAGGCGGUUUGUCGCGUCUGCCGUGAAAGUCCGGGGCUCAACUCCGGAUCUGCGGUGGGUACGGGCAGACUAGAGUGAUGUAGGGGAGACUGGAAUUCCUGGUGUAGCGGUGAAAUGCGCAGAUAUCAGGAGGAACACCGAUGGCGAAGGCAGGUCUCUGGGCAUUAACUGACGCUGAGGAGCG